CCCCUAGAUGUUCUGGGCCGCACGCGCGCUACACUGAACAGUUCAACAAGUCUUAACCUUGGCCGAUAGGUCUGGGUAAUCUUUGAACGCUGUUCGUGAUUGGGAUGGACCUUUGCAAUUAUGGGUCUUCAACGAGGAAUUCCUAGUAAACGCAAGUCAUCAGCUUGCAUUGAUUACGUCCCUGCCCUUUGUACACACCGCCCGUCGCACCUACCGAUUGAAUGGUCCGGUGAAAUCUCGGGACGGCGGCUUGGUCGCUUGCGUCCGACUGCUGAAACUUGAUUAAACCAUNUNAUUUAUNGGAAGGUGAANUCGUANCA
rnacentral:rRNA from 1 species